rnacentral:rRNA from 1 species
GAUGAACGCUGGCGGCGUGCCUAAUACAUGCAAGUCGAGCGAACGGACGAGAAGCUGGCUUCUCUGAUGUUAGCGACGGACGGGUGAGUAACACGUGGAUAACCUACCUAUAAGACUGGGAUAACUUCGGGAAACCGUAGCUAAUACCGGAUAAUAUUUUGAACCGCAUGGUUCAAAAGUGAAAGACGGUCUUGCUGUCACUUAUAGAUGGAUCCGCGCUGCAUUAGCUAGUUGGUAAGGUAACGGCUUACCAAGGCAACGAUGCAUAGCCGACCUGAGAGGGUGAUCGGCCACACUGGAACUGAGACACGGUCCAGACUCCUACGGGAGGCAGCAGUAGGGAAUCUUCCGCAAUGGGCGAAAGCCUGACGGAGCAACGCCGCGUGAGUGAUGAAGGUCUUCGGAUCGUAAAACUCUGUUAUUAGGGAAGAACAUAUGUGUAAGUAACUGUGCACAUCUUGACGGUACCUAAUCAGAAAGCCACGGCUAACUACGUG